GACGAACGCUGGCGGCGUGCCUAAUACAUGCAAGUAGAACGCACAGUUUAUACCGUAGCUUGCUACACCAUAGACUGUGAGUUGCGAACGGGUGAGUAACGCGUAGGUAACCUGCCUGGUAGCGGGGGAUAACUAUUGGAAACGAUAGCUAAUACCGCAUAAUAUUGAUUAUUGCAUGAUAAUUGAUUGAAAGAUGCUAUUGCAUCACUACCAGAUGGACCUGCGUUGUAUUAGCUAGUAGGUGAGGUAACGGCUCACCUAGGCGACGAUACAUAGCCGACCUGAGAGGGUGAUCGGCCACACUGGGACUGAGACACGGCCCAGACUCCUACGGGAGGCAGCAGUAGGGAAUCUUCGGCAAUGGACGAAAGUCUGACCGAGCAACGCCGCGUGAGUGAAGAAGGUUUUCGGAUCGUAAAGCUCUGUUGUAAGAGAAGAACGGGUGUGAGAGUGGAAAGUUCACACUGUGACGGUAUCUUACCAGAAAGGGACGGCUAACUGCGUG
rnacentral:rRNA from 1 species